UACGUAGGGGGCAAGCGUUGUCCGGAUUUACUGGGCGUAAAGCGCGUGUAGGCGGCUACGCAGGUCCGUUGUGAAAACUGGAGGCUCAACCUCCAGACGUCGACGGAAACCGUGUGGCUAGAGUCCGGAAGAGGAGAGUGGAAUUCCUGGUGUAGCGGUGGAAUGCGCAGAUAUCAGGAGGAACACCGAUGGCGAAGGCAGGUCUCUGGGCCAUAAACUGACGCUGAGAAGCGAAAGCAUGGGGGAGCGAACAGG
rnacentral:rRNA from 1 species